GAUGAACGCUAGCGAUAGGCUUAACACAUGCAAGUCGAGGGGCAGCAUGGUCUUAGCUUGCUAAGACUGAUGGCGACCGGCGCACGGGUGCGUAACGCGUAUGCAACUUGCCUCACAGAGUGGGAUAACCCGUCGAAAGACGGACUAAUACCGCGUACACUCUAUUUUGGGCAUCCAAGGUAGAGGAAAUGAAAUUCGCUGUGAGAUAGGCAUGCGUCCCAUUAGCUAGUUGGUGAGGUAACGGCUCACCAAGGCGACGAUGGGUAGGGGAACUGAGAGGUUGAACCCCCACAAUGGUACUGAGACACGGACCAGACUCCUACGGGAGGCAGCAGUGAGGAAUAUUGGUCAAUGGGAGAGGGCCUGAACCAGCCAAGUCGCGUGAAGGAUGACUGUCUUAUGGAUUGUAAACUUCUUUUGUAGGGGAAUAAAGAGGGGCACGUGUGCCCCAGUGAAUGUACCCUACGAAUAAGCAUCGGCUAACUCCGUG
rnacentral:rRNA from 1 species